rnacentral:rRNA from 1 species
CCCCUAGACGUUCUGGGCUGCACGCGCGCUACAAUAAUACGCACAGCGAGUAUCACCGAGCUCGAAAGAGCAAGGUAAACAAUAGAAAAGGUACUGUAAUGGUUAUAGAUCCUUGUAAUUAUUGAUCUUCAACGAGGAAUUCCUAGUAAGUAUGUGUCAUCAUCACGCACUGAUUACGUCCCUGCCCUUUGUACACACCGCCCGUCGCUCCUACCGAUUGAGUGAGCCGAUGAAACUGCCGGAUGUGGACUAUUCAUAGUCUGCAGAAGAUAUUUGAAUCGUAGCGCUUAGAGGAAGGAGAAGUCGUAACA